CAUUCAUUAAUAAAGAAAGAUUAUUGUUAUAUUAUUAUGAAUAAUGUUACAAUAGUACAUAGACAAUAAGAAAAUGACAUUUAACAUUUACACAGCCUGUUAAGUUUAAUGUACAUACCCAAGUUAGAUAAUAUCAUGGAUGUCUAUCUUUGGCAUUAUAGGCUUAGUCACCUUGAUAAAAAUAGGAUAAACGGAUUAGCU
rnacentral:lncRNA from 1 species